rnacentral:rRNA from 1 species
UACGUAGGGGGCAAGCGUUGUCCGGAUUUAUUGGGCGUAAAGAGCUCGUAGGUGGUUCGGUAAGUCGGAUGUGAAAUCUCCAGGCUCAACCUGGAGGGGUCAUUCGAUACUGCCGUGACUAGAGGUCGGUAGGGGAGUGUGGAAUUCCUGGUGGAGCGGUGAAAUGCGCAGAUAUCAGGAGGAACACCGGUGGCGAAGGCGGUUCUCUGGGCCUUACCUGACGCUGAGGAGCGAAAGCGUGGGGAGCAAACAGG